UCCGUAGGUGAACCUGCGGAAGGAUCAUUACCUAGAGUUGCGGGCUUUGCCUGCCAUCUCUUACCCAUGUCUUUUGAGUACCUUCGUUUCCUCGGUGGGUUCGCCCGCCGGUUGGACAACACUUAAACCCUUUGUAAUUGAAAUCAGCGUCUGAAAAAACUUAAUAGUUACAACUUUCAACAACGGAUCUCUUGGUUCUGGCAUCGAUGAAGAACGCAGCGAAAUGCGAUAAGUAGUGUGAAUUGCAGAAUUCAGUGAAUCAUCGAAUCUUUGAACGCACAUUGCGCCCCUUGGUAUUCCAUGGGGCAUGCCUGUUCGAGCGUCAUUUGUACCUUCAAGCUCUGCUUGGUGUUGGGUGUUUGUCUCGCCUCUGCGCGCAGACUCGCCUCAAAACGAUUGGCAGCCGGCGUAUUGAUUUCGGAGCGCAGUACAUCUCGCGCUUUGACAACAAAACGACGACGUCCAAAAAGUACAUUUUUUACACUCUUGACCUCGGAUCAGGUAGGGAUACCCGCUGAACUUAAGCAUAUCAAUAAGCGGAGGA
rnacentral:rRNA from 1 species